GACGAACGCUGGCGGCGUGCUUAACACAUGCAAGUCGAACGGAAAGGCCCUGCUUUUGUGGGGUGCUCGAGUGGCGAACGGGUGAGUAACACGUGAGUAACCUGCCCUUGACUUUGGGAUAACUUCAGGAAACUGGGGCUAAUACCGGGUAGGAGCUCCUGCUGCAUGGUGGGGGUUGGAAAGUUUCGGCGGUUGGGGAUGGACUCGCGGCUUAUCAGCUUGUUGGUGGGGUAGUGGCUUACCAAGGCUAUGACGGGUAGCCGGCCUGAGAGGGUGACCGGCCACAUUGGGACUGAGAUACGGCCCAGACUCCUACGGGAGGCAGCAGUGGGGAAUAUUGCACAAUGGGCGGAAGCCUGAUGCAGCAACGCCGCGUGCGGGAUGACGGCCUUCGGGUUGUAAACCGCUUUCGCCUGUGACGAAGCGUGAGUGACGGUAAUGGGUAAAGAAGCACCGGCUAACUACGUG
rnacentral:rRNA from 1 species